GACGAACCGUGCGAACGUUGUUCGGAAUCACUGGGCUUAAAGGGCGCGUAGGCGGGCGGGCAAGUCAGGGGUGAAAUCCCACGGCUCAACCGUGGAAGUGCCCUUGAUACUGCCGGUCUCGAGGGAGGUAGGGGCGUGCGGAACUUCCGGUGGAGCGGUGAAAUGCGUAGAUAUCGGAAGGAACACCGGUGGCGAAAGCGGCGCGCUGGAUCUCUACUGACGCUGAGGCGCGAAAGCCAGGGGAGCAAACGGG
rnacentral:rRNA from 1 species